rnacentral:rRNA from 1 species
AUGGCCUCCCGCGCCACCCGCCCUCCCCGUCCGGCGAAGAGGGGCUCCGGCGCCUUCGGGAUGGCUAAUGCCGUCCAUGACGCCACCGUCGCCCGCCCCGUCAUCCUGGAGACCCAGCCGGUCGGCCCGCCGAAGCAGGUCUACAUCGAGCGCACCGCCAAGGGCAUCUCUGGCCCCGUCACCCGCUACGGCGUCCUGCCGCUUGACGUGACCGGCGACGACGACGACGACGACGACGCGGCGGAGGGCGAGGACGCGGCGGCGGAGGGAGCGGACGAGGUCGACGCGGCGGCGGAGGAGGAUCCGAUGGCCUAG